ACAGCAGGAUGUACUUUGUAAAUAGCAAAGUCUUACAUAUAUGUGGAUUAGAUGAAAUCUAGCUGCGGGCCUAGCCCAGUCAGGCCACAGAUUCCCUGAACUGUUCUCACCACCCAUGAACAAGCAAGCAGUCUCAGCAUCCGAGAGAGAAGGGGAGGAAGCGUCGGACGUGUGAGGACACAGAAAAAGGUA